rnacentral:rRNA from 1 species
GUUUGAUCCUGGCUCAGGAUGAACGCUGGCGGCGUGCUUAACACAUGCAAGUCGAACGAGCCUUCGGGCUAGUGGCGGACGGGUGAGUAACGCGUGGGAAUCUGCCCUCAGGAGGGGGAUAACGGCCGGAAACGGCCGCUAAUACCCCAUAUGCCGAGAGGUGAAACGAAUUUCGCCUGGGGAUGAGCCCGCGUCUGAUUAGCUAGUUGGUGAGGUAAUGGCUCACCAAGGCAUCGAUCAGUAGCUGGUCUGAGAGGAUGAUCAGCCACACUGGGACUGAGACACGGCCCAGACUCCUACGGGAGGCAGCAGUGGGGAAUUUUCCGCAAUGGGCGCAAGCCUGACGGAGCAACGCCGCGUGAGGGACGAAGGCCUCUGGGCUGUAAACCUCUUUUCUCAAGGAAGAAGACAUGACGGUACUUGAGGAAUAAGCCACGGCUAAUUCCGUGCCAGCAGCCGCGGUAAUACGGGAGUGGCAAGCGUUAUCCGGAAUUAUUGGGCGUAAAGCGUCCGCAGGCGGCCUUGAAAGUCUGUUGUUAAAGCGUGGAGCUCAACUCCAUUUCAGCAAUGGAAACUACAAGGCUAGAGUGUGGUAGGGGCAGAGGGAAUUCCCGGUGUAGCGGUGAAAUGCGUAGAUAUCGGGAAGAACACCAGUGGCGAAGGCGCUCUGCUGGGCCAUAACUGACGCUCAUGGACGAAAGCCAGGGGAGCGAAAGGGAUUAGAUACCCCUGUAGUCCUGGCCGUAAACGAUGAACACUAGGUGUCGGGAGAAUUAACCCUUCCGGUGUCGUAGCCAACGCGUUAAGUGUUCCGCCUGGGGAGUACGCACGCAAGUGUGAAACUCAAAGGAAUUGACGGGGGCCCGCACAAGCGGUGGAGUAUGUGGUUUAAUUCGAUGCAACGCGAAGAACCUUACCAGGGUUUGACAUCCUGCGAAUCCCUUGGAAACUUGGGAGUGCCUUCGGGAACGCAGUGACAGGUGGUGCAUGGCUGUCGUCAGCUCGUGUCGUGAGAUGUUGGGUUAAGUCCCGCAACGAGCGCAACCCACGUCUUUAGUUGCCAGCAUUCAGUUGGGCACUCUAGAGAGACCGCCGGUGAUAAACCGGAGGAAGGUGUGGAUGACGUCAAGUCAUCAUGCCCCUUACAUCCUGGGCUACACACGUACUACAAUGCUACGGACAAAGGGCAGCAAACUCGCGAGAGCUAGCAAAUCCCAUAAACCGUGGCUCAGUUCAGAUCGUAGGCUGCAACUCGCCUACGUGAAGGAGGAAUCGCUAGUAAUCGCAGGUCAGCAUACUGCGGUGAAUACGUUCCCGGGCCUUGUACACACCGCCCGUCACACCAUGGAAGUUGGCCAUGCCCGAAGUCGUUACUCCAACCCGCAAGGGAGGAGGACGCCGAAGGUGGGGCUGAUGACUGGGGUGAAGUCGUAACAAGGUAGCCGUACCGGAAGGUGCGGCUGGAUCACCUCCUAAC